UGAGCGGUCGGUCCGCUGCCGCCCGGCUCGGCCAACCCAACGCAUCGUUCGCCCCGAUGCGCCCUGGCCCUUCCAUCGUUUGAGGAGGAGACUCACGUCCCGGACUCCGAGCCCCCUCUCUGUUCCGCCGUUACCGGAAGGAAAGCCUCCACCGCGCCGCCGCUCUCUCCUCCACUCCCCGGAACGCCCCUCCGCGCCGCGCGCCGCCUCCGCCGCCAGGGGGACAGAUGAUUUCGGAGGGGUCUGGUGAGUCCGAGCAGAGGCGGCGGCGUUGGAUGGAGAUGGGGGCUGCGGUGGUGCCACCGAGGGCGGCCGGCCCGCGGAGGUACAAGGCGCUCGCCUCCUGGCGCUUCCAGCCCGGCUUCGUCAGGCAGCCGGUCAAGCAUGCCGCCGCCGAGCCUGACGGCGGCAGUGGAGGGCUCGCGGGGGGCGUCCCCGAGGCGAAAUUUUGCGGAUCGGGAGCCGCACCGAGCGGCGGCAAGAGCGGGGGAGUCGGUGGAGGAAAGCGGCACUUGAAGAGGUGCAUACGCAGUCAGAGUGCGAAGAGCCCUGAUGCGGAGGAUGUGGAGAACGGCGGUCGGCCUGGAACUGGAAAUGCUUGCGACUUGGGCAAGUCCAGCGCCUUUAGCGGCGUGGAGGGCUUGGAAGGUACUGGAAAUAGCGGGGGUGUCGGGGUUGGCGUCGGAGCUGGAGAGGACUGCAAUUCGGGGAGGUUCAAUUGCAAUGGUAGUGUGAAGGAUACUGAUGAGCAGGAUUUGAGGGGUGCUGCCAGCGGCAGCGGUGGCUUUGAUGGGAAAGCUAGCGAACCCGAGGGCGUUGGGAGCAAUGUAGGAGUGGAGAAGUGCAUUCCUGAGGGUUUGAAGAUGUCUGUGGAUGGGACUGGGCCAAAGAGCAAUGGUUCUUCUGCUUCAGAUCGCAAGUUGGAGGACCCAGAGGGAAGUGUUGGGUUGGGAGAUUUCCCGUGCCACACUGCAAAGGGGUGUAGCACGGGAGAUGGGGCUGCCAAGGAGAGCGACACAGCAGCCAAAGGUUGCAGCCCGGCAGGUCCUGGCAGCAAUGGUAAUGAAACGUAUUACCGCAAGGGGCGGAAGGUAGUUGUACCAUGGAGGUUCCAGGUCGGGUACAAGCGGUCAUUCUCCAAAGCUUUUGGCUCCGAUAACGGAUCUCCUGAUCUUCCAGCGUACAAGGUUGAGGACCGUUCAGCAAAGUGCACUCCAGCAACUAGAAGUACUGUGCGAUGUUAUGCAAGUGCUCAUUCUGGUGUUAGAGUUUCAGCUACGCAUGGCUUCUCUUCAGUGAAAGGUGAGAAGGAGACCGGUACUGCAGAUAAGAAGAGGAAAACCAACAACGAUGAUCGUGAUAAAGUCAUCCCUAAUAAUAGUGGUGUCAUCACUAGAGAAAGCGUUAUGCAAUCUCUGCAGGAUUUCCGGUUAAUUUACCGGGACCUUUUGGAUGAACAAGACAGUUUGAGGGAGGCAGUGCUUAACCUGCGACCUGAUCUACAGGCUUACAGAAUUUUCAGGGAGCGUUUCUCCAUAGAGUGUGAUGAUAAGAAAUAUGUUGGCAGUGUGCCUGGAAUCCAUGCUGGUGAUAUCUUUCAUUUGAGGGUAGAGCUUUGUGUUGUCGGUCUUCAUCGCCCUCACCGGGUAGGUAUUGAUUAUAUCAAGAAGGAUGAUGGGACUUGUGUAGCUAUUAGCAUUGUGUUAUAUGCACAAUCUUCUGAGAUGAAGAAUAAUUUUGAUGUCUUAGUGUAUUCUGGAUCAGUGGCAGUUACAGGCAAUCAGAAGAUAGAGGGUACCAACCUGGCACUAAAGAAGAGCAUGGAUACUAAUACACCUGUCCGUGUUAUCCAUGGGUUCACCACUCAUUUUAAUGGAAACUGUGGAAAGAAGAGAUUUCCUACUUAUAUAUAUGGGGGUUUAUACCUUGUUGAGAAGUACUGGAGAGAGAGAGAGUGUGAAGACCGUUAUGUAUAUAUGUUCCGACUGAGAAGAAUGGAAGGACAGAAACACAUUGACAUCAAAGAAAUUCUGCAAACAGGGAAGGCUGGAUCAUGUGAUAGUAUUAUCAUCAAAGAUCUAUCCCAAGGAUUGGAGAAGAUCCCUAUAUCUGUUGUUAACGCAAUAUCUGAUGAGUACCCAAUGCCCUAUCGCUACAUUUCACGCCUUCGAUAUCCCCACAACUAUCAGCCAACUCCACCAGCAGGUUGUGGUUGUGUUGGCGGAUGCUCAGACUCAAAAAAGUGUGCAUGUGCUGUGAAAAAUGGUGGGGAGAUCCCUUUCAAUGAUAAAGGUCGUAUCAUAGAAGCAAAACCCCUUGUUUAUGAGUGUGGACCUUCUUGCAAGUGCCCUCCUACAUGUCAUAACAGAGUUGGCCAACAUGGCAUGAAAUUUCGGCUGCAAGUCUUCAAAACAAAAUCAAUGGGUUGGGGAGUGAGAACUCUUGACUUCAUACCAUCUGGAAGCUUUGUAUGUGAAUAUAUAGGGGAAGUGUUGGAGGAUGAAGAGGCACAAAAGAGGACCACUGAUGAAUACUUAUUUGCUAUUGGACAUAAUUAUUAUGACGAAUCUCUUUGGGAGGGCCUAUCAAGAUCUAUACCCUCACUUCAGAAGGGUCCAGAUAUAGAUGACGAAGCUGGCUUUGCUGUUGAUGCUUCGGAGAUGGGGAACUUUGCCAAAUUCAUCAAUCAUAGUUGCACCCCCAACCUCUAUGCACAAAACGUCCUCUAUGAUCAUGACGACAAAAGUGUGCCUCAUAUCAUGUUCUUUGCCUGCGACGAUAUUCGACCUCGCCAAGAACUAGCAUACCACUACAACUACACAAUAGAUCAGGUUCAUGAUGCCAAUGGUAACAUCAAGAAGAAAAAAUGCCUCUGUGGCUCUGUUGAGUGCGAUGGCUGGUUGUAUUAGGUUUAGAAUGUACAAUUUCUUGAUGGAUAAUUGAACUUGUUCCCUUGAGUCCGCUUCUAGCUUAUUUUAUGGCUAGAAAAGUAAAAUGGAAAUCAGUGCUUUGGUUUCCGAUGAUGUCAAGGUGUCCUAUGCGACCUGACUCGGCCUCUUGUUGAAAAUUGUUUUUGGAAAAAAUAAAGUUUCAGUGCAAAAAUGACACAGCUACGAAGUUGUUGUGGUUCUUACAGGCAUGGCUGAAGGCUUGAGGCUGAUGAAUGCUUGAAGUUUCAUCGUGCGAAGGCCUCUAAGAUUUUGUAAAGCACGCAAAGAGAAGUCAUGUUCAGAGGAGGCAGCUUGGUAGGAUUGUUGAUAAUGACUGCUUGUUUGGAAAUUAGGUGGAAGAAUAUGUGUUUCCGACCUUGACGUUCCUGAGCUAAAAGCCAAAGCCUGGUGCUUAAUCGAAAUUAUGCCUGAAGCUUGAGGCAAGAUAAUUCUGCAUUCCACUUUCCAGUGGACCUGUGGUUGCUCCAUAAUACUAACACCAGUAAAAGCCAAAGCCCGGUGUUGGGGUAGCAUACUAGUAUGAAGUAGGAACUAUUCUAUUACGGUCUCUAGCCAAAGCUAUGAUCUCUUUUUCGUUCUGUUUUUCUGUUUGGGAUGAGGAAUUUGAGCACUGGAAUAUUGAAGCAACAUGGUCAUUCAGCUCUGCAGAUGCGCUGAAACCAUUGUCUCUUGCUUACGGUUACAGACUCAAGCCAAAAAUGGCACAUUAUUCAAGACCCAGACGACAGUACAGUACUACUAUGCAAUACCGUAUGAUGCUGUACACCCCAGAUGCUAACCGGCCUUCUUUCAAGCGUCACUGUUCA